GCGUGGAGACAGGUGGUGCAUGGCUGUCGUCAGCUCGUGUCGUGAGAUGUUGGGUUAAGUCCCGCAACGAGCGCAACCCUCACCCCUGGUUGCCACCGGGUAAAGCCGAGCACUCGAGGGGAACUGCCCCGGUUAACGGGGAGGAAGGCGGGGAUGACGUCAAGUCAUCAUGCCCCUUACGCCCUGGGCUACACACGUGCUACAAUGGCCGGUACAAAGGGACGCGAGACCGCGAGGUGGAGCUAAUCCCAAAAAACCGGUCUAAGUUCAGAUUGCAGUCUGCAACUCGACUGCAUGAAGGAGGAAUCGCUAGUAAUCGCGCAUCAGCACGGCGCGGUGAAUACGUUCCCGGGCCUUGUACACACCGCCCGUCACACCACGAAAGCUGUCUGUACUCGAAGUCGCUGAG
rnacentral:rRNA from 1 species